AACCCACGGCGGGGCUCGAACCCGCAGCCUUGUGAU
rnacentral:tRNA from 1 species